GACGAACGCUGGCGGCGUGCCUAAUACAUGCAAGUAGGACGCAGUUGCGAACAGGUGAGUAACGCGUAGGUAACUACCUAUUUGAGGGGGAUAACUAUUGGAAACGAUAGCUAAUACCGCAUACUAGUAGCUUGACCUUCUUUGUAUUAGCUAGUAGGUAGGGUAAUGGCCUACCUAGGCAACGAUACAUAGCCGACCUGGGAGGGGGAUCGGGCAGAGUGGGAAUGGGAAAAGGGCCAGACUCCUACGGGAGGCAGCAGUAGGGAAACUUGGGGAAUGGGGGGAAACCUGGACGAGCAACGCGGCGGGAGGGAAGAAGGUUGUCGGAUCGGAAAGCUCUGUUGUUAAGGAAGCGGUACUUAACCAGAAAGGGACGGCUAACUACGUGCCAGCAGCCGCGGUAAUUC
rnacentral:rRNA from 1 species